UAGGGAAUCUUCGGCAAUGGACGAAAGUCUGACCGAGCAACGCCGCGUGAGUGAAGAAGGUUUUCGGAACGUAAAACUCUGUUGAUAGAGAAGAACAAGGACGUUAGUAACUGAACGUCCCCUGACGGUAUCUAACCAGAAAGCCACGGCUAACUACGUGCCAGCAGCCGCGGUAAUACGUAGGUGGCAAGCGUUGGCCGGAUUUAUUGGGCGUAAAGCGAGCGCAGGCGGUUUCUUAAGUCUGAUGUGAAAGCCCCCGGCUCAACCGGGGAGGGUCAUUGGAAACUGGGGGACUUGAGUGCGGAAGAGGAGGAUGGAAUUCCAUGUGUAGGGGGAAAAUGCGUAGCUAUAUGGAGGAACACCAGUGGCAAAGGCGGCUAUCUGGUCUGUAACUAACGCUGAGGCUCGAAAGCGUGGGGAGCAAACAGG
rnacentral:rRNA from 1 species